GCGGCUGUAGCUCAGUGGAUAGAGUAUUGGCCUCCGAAGCCAAGGGUCGUGGGUUCGAUCCCCGCCAGCCGC
rnacentral:tRNA from 2 species